GAAGGCCAGGCUGAAGACUUUGCCGGAUUAGCUGAGAGGUGGUGCAUGGCCGUCGUCAGUUCGUACUGUGAAGCAUCCUGUUAAGUCAGGCAACGAGCGAGACCCACGCCCACAGUUGCCAGCGUACUCUCUGGAGUGACGGGUACACUGUGGGGACCGCCGCUGCUAAAGCGGAGGAAGGAAUGGGCAACGGUAGGUCAGUAUGCCCCGAAUAUCCCGGGCUACACGCGAGCUACAAUGGUUGGUACAAUGGGUAUCUACCCCGAAAGGGGACGGGAAUCUCCUAAAACCAAUCUUAGUUCGGAUUGAGGGCUGCAACUCGCCCUCAUGAAGCUGGAAUCCGUAGUAAUCGUGUCUCAAAAUGGCACGGUGAAUAUGUCCCUGCUCCUU
rnacentral:rRNA from 1 species